UACGGGGGGGGCAAGCGUUGUUCGGAAUUACUGGGCGUAAAGGGUUCGUAGGUGGCUUGCUCAGUCAGACGUGAAAUCCCUCAGCUUAACUGGGGAACUGCGUCUGAUACUGGCGAGCUUGAGUGCAGGAGAGGAACGCGGAAUUCCAGGUGUAGCGGUGAAAUGCGUAGAUAUCCUAAGGAACACCGGUGGCGAAAGCGGCUCACUGGGUCUCUUCUGACGCUGAGGCACGAAAGCUAGGGUAGCGAACGGG
rnacentral:rRNA from 1 species